GCAAGUCGAGCGCUCUCUUCGGAGGGAGCGGCGGACGGGUGAGUAACGCGUGGGAACGUACCUUUCUCUACGGAAUAGCCUCGGGAAACUGAGAGUAAUACCGUAUACGCCCUUAGGGGGAAAGAUUUAUCGGAGAGAGAUCGGCCCGCGUUGGAUUAGGUAGUUGGUGGGGUAACGGCCCACCAAGCCGACGAUCCAUAGCUGGUUUGAGAGGAUGAUC
rnacentral:rRNA from 1 species